rnacentral:rRNA from 1 species
GGCCUACCAUGGUGGUAACGGGUAACGGGGAAUUAGGGUUCGAUUCCGGAGAGGGAGCCUGAGAAACGGCUACCACAUCCAAGGAAGGCAGCAGGCGCGCAAAUUACCCAAUCCCGACACGGGGAGGUAGUGACAAUAAAUAACAAUACGGGGCUCUUUCGGGUCUCGUAAUUGGAAUGAGUACAAUUUAAAUCCCUUAACGAGGAACAAUUGGAGGGCAAGUCUGGUGCCAGCAGCCGCGGUAAUUCCAGCUCCAAUAGCGUAUAUUAAAGUUGUUGCAGUUAAAAAGCUCGUAGUUGAAUUUCGGGAUUGACACAUCGGUCGUGCCUUAAGGGGUAUGAACUGGUGUAGUCAAUUUCUCACCUUCUGGAGAACCGCGAUGCCCUUAAGUGGGGGUGGCGGGGAACCAGGACCUUUACUUUGAAAAAAUUAGAGUGUUUAAAGCAGGCAUUUUGCGGGGGAUACAUUAGCAUGGAAUAAUAAAAUAGGACGGCAUGAUUCUAUUUUGUUGGUUUCUAGGAUCACCGUAAUGAUUAAUAGGGAUAGUUGGGGGCAUUAGUAUUCAAUUGUCAGAGGUGAAAUUCUUGGAUUUAUUGAAGACUAACUACUGCGAAAGCAUUUGCCAAGGAUGUUUUCAUUAAUCAAGAACGAAAGUUAGGGAUCGAAGACGAUCAGAUACCGUCGUAGUCUUACCAUAAACUAUGCCGACUAGGAAUCAGACGAUGUUAUUUUUUAUGACUCGGUUUGGCACCUUACG